CUGGGGCUGGGGCUCAGUGGUAGAGUACUUGCCUAGCACGCAGGAGGUACUGGGUUUGGUCCCGGGCUCCACA
rnacentral:tRNA from 1 species